GUUGUCCCUCUUCAUAGCAUGGGAGUUGGACUAGAUGACCCUUAAAGGUCUCUCCCAACUCAAAGCAUUCUAUGACUCCAAGAAGAUUCUGUCCUGGAAUAAGCCAUGCAUAGUUCACUGUGGCUGCGUGUUUGUGAGGAGGUUUUAUAGAAGUUGGAGCUUGUCCUGUCUCUCUUUCUCUGUUUGGAGAAGAAAGAUGCCCAAGUACGUAGCUGGAGGAGGAAAACUCUUGAGGUUAUUAUCUGUUCUCAAAAGAACAUUGAAAUACAUGGGCAAUGUACAGUAGGACAAACAAAGCAAGGAGAGGAGCUUUUGUGAGAACAAAGCAUUUUUGUUCUUUACCACCACUGACUACUGAAAUGAACAGCUUCCUUAGGUGAUGGAAAGCCACUGCCCUGUUCAGUAAACCUGCCUCUUGUUUUUCUGAGUAAUGCUGGGGAAAGACACCAUUUCCAAAAGUGUUUCCUUUGUUUGACCCGUCAUCUCUCAUUGCUGUGAAAGGUGUCUGAGCCUGACAGGCCUGAUGAGACUGCAGCAGAGAUAUGGCUACAGAGCAUGUUCUUGUCUCCUGGAUACUCCCACGGCUCUUCAGAAGCACUCUGAACAGCCACAAAGACUUGCUAGGGAACAAAGCAAAGGGAGAGUCUUGGUGAGACAACGUGCAGGGAGAACUGACAGCCAGCCAAAAGCCCCAUCCAGCUACAAGAAGUUU
rnacentral:lncRNA from 1 species